GGGUCCGUCGCCUAACACGGGAUGGGCGCAGGCCUUCGGAGCCUGUCAAGUGGGUUCGACUCCCACCGGACCCA
rnacentral:tRNA from 1 species